UACGAAGGGGGCUAGCGUUGUUCGGAAUCACUGGGCGUAAAGAGCGUGUAGGCGGCCAGGUAGGUCUGCUGUGAAAACUCGAGGCUCAACCUCGAGACGUCGGCGGAAACCAUCUGGCUAGAGUCCGGAAGAGGAGAGUGGAAUUCCUGGUGUAGCGGUGAAAUGCGCAGAUAUCAGGAAGAACACCCGUGGCUAAGGCGGCUCUCUAGUACGGUACUGACGCUGAGACGCGAAAGCGUGGGGAGCGAACAGG
rnacentral:rRNA from 1 species